AUACUUACCUGGCGUAGAGAUACCAUGAUCAUGCAGGCGGUUCCCCCAGGGUGAGGCUGCUACAUUGCACUGCGGAGUGGUUGGUGGUUGACUCUUGCGAUUAUUCUUAUUUUUUAUAAGUUUCACUUCUGUGUGUGACUUGC
rnacentral:snRNA from 9 species